rnacentral:lncRNA from 1 species
GCCUUGUUGUUAUUUUUGUCUGAAUGUUUCACCACAGAAACAAUCAGCACGUUUUCCAUCUUUGCAACUUUUUUGAUCAGAAUCAAAAAUAUGCUUGACAAAUGACAAACACUGCAAUUUUCAAACGCUUAAUUGAUAAAGAUUUUUUUUAAUACCGGAAUCGAGUUCGUCGAAAAUGCGGAUUUAUUUUCGACGUGCGGGAAUUUUAUUUUUAUUUUUAUUUUUUGGUUUUGGCAGGUGAGGUGCGGGAAAUUUAUUUUUAUUUUUUUAUUUUAAUUUCGGCAAUUUAGGUGCGGGUUUUCCAAAGAACUACUAAUUAAUUUGGUGUGGCCUUAUAUAUUACCAAACAGACUU